CAUGCCUUACACAUGCAAGUCGAACGGUAACAGGUUAAGCUGACGAGUGGCGAACGGGUGAGUAAUAUAUCGGAACGUGCCCAGUUGUGGGGGAUAACUACCCGAAAGAGUGGCUAAUACCGCAUGAGACCUGAGGGUGAAAGCGGGGGAUCGCAAGACCUCGCGCAAUUGGAGCGGCCGAUAUCAGAUUAGCUAGUUGGCGGGGUAAAAGCCCACCAAGGCGACGAUCUGUAGCUGGUCUGAGAGGACGACCAGCCACACUGGGGCUGAGACACGGCCCAGACUCCUACGGGAGGCAGCAGUGGGGAAUUUUGGACAAUGGACGCAAGUCUGAUCCAGCCAUGCCGCGUGCGGGAAGAAGGCCUUCGGGUUGUAAACCGCUUUUGUCAGGGAAGAAACGGGUUUCUCUAAUACAGAGACCUAAUGACGGUACCUGAAGAAUAAGCACCGGCUAACUCCGUGCCAGCAGCCGCGGUAAUACGGAGGGUGCGAGCGUUAAUCGGAAUUACUGGGCGUAAAGCGUGCGUAGGCGGUUCGUUAAGUCAGAUGUGAAAGCCCUGGGCUCAACCUGGGAACUGCAUUUGAAACUGGCGGACUAGAGUUUAGUAGAGGGGAGUGGAAUUUCAGGUGUAGCGGUGAAAUGCGUAGAUAUCUGAAGGAACACCAGUGGCGAAGGCGACUCCCUGGACUAGAACUGACGCUGAGGUACGAAAGCGUGGGUAGCAAACAGGAUUAGAUACCCUGGUAGUCCACGCCGUAAACGAUGUCGACUAGCCGUUGGCCCUAUUUACAGGGUUAGUGGCGCAGCUAACGCAUUAAGUCGACCGCCUGGGGAGUACGGCCGCAAGGUUAAAACUCAAAUGAAUUGACGGGGCCCGCACAGCGGUGGA
rnacentral:rRNA from 1 species